AUUGAGCGCUGGCGGCAUGCCUUACGCAUGCAAGUCGAACGGUAACGGGCCUUCGGGUGCCGACGAGUGGCGAACGGGUGAGUAAUGCAUCGGAACGUACCUUUCAGUGGGGGAUAACGUAGCGAAAGUUACGCUAAUACCGCAUAUUCUGUGAGCAGGAAAGCAGGGGAUCGCAAGACCUUGCGCUGAUUGAGCGGCCGAUGUCAGAUUAGCUAGUUGGUGAGGUAAAGGCUCACCAAGGCGACGAUCUGUAGCGGGUCUGAGAGGAUGAUCCGCCACACUGGGACUGAGACACGGCCCAGACUCCUACGGGAGGCAGCAGUGGGGAAUUUUGGACAAUGGGGGCAACCCUGAUCCAGCCAUGCCGCGUGAGUGAAGAAGGCCUUCGGGUUGUAAAGCUCUUUCGGCCGGGAAGAAAUCGCACAGGCUAAUACCUUGUGUGGAUGACGGUACCGGAAUAAGAAGCACCGGCUAACUACGUGCCAGCCGCCGCCGUAAUAC
rnacentral:rRNA from 1 species